GCUCAGGAUGAACGCUAGCUACAGGCUUAACACAUGCAAGUCGAGGGGUAGCAGGGUAGCAAUACCGCUGACGACCGGCGCACGGGUGAGUAACACGUAUCCAACCUUCCCAUAACUCGGGGAUAGCCUUUCGAAAGAAAGAUUAAUACCCGAUAGUACUUUUUUAGGGCAUCUUAGAAAAGUUAAAGAUUUAUUGGUUAUGGAUGGGGAUGCGUUCCAUUAGAUAGUUGGUGAGGUAACGGCUCACCAAGUCUUCGAUGGAUAGGGGUUCUGAGAGGAAGGUCCCCCACAUUGGUACUGAGACACGGACCAAACUCCUACGGGAGGCAGCAGUGAGGAAUAUUGGUCAAUGGGCGAGAGCCUGAACCAGCCAAG
rnacentral:rRNA from 1 species